CCCUAGCCCCGAUAAAAGUGAAAAUCCUUGUUGUUUUUUCUUUAAAAACAACAAGAUUGCAACGGAUAGCGGGAAAUAGC
rnacentral:sRNA from 1 species